ACUCCUCCCCUCUGUGUUUUUUCCUUUUUCCCAUUUUUAAAACCUAACUCAUUGUCCAUGCCCAACCCACUUGUGUAUUUUUUGUUAAUUGGAAGUUAGGCCAUGACUUAUGCCAUGAGGCAUAUGACCCAAUGCUUCAAUUGUCUAAUGUGUAAUGUAGAGUUAGGAAUCCACAAACAACCAACUAAUAUCCAAAACCUUAUCAUGGUCCUAUCAACUAACCCUUUUUCAAUUUUUGAAAAAUUGAGCUGAUGACACGUGUAGGCCCCAGUUUAUCUAAUACAAGAGGAAAUGACCUAGAACUUCAAAGGUAGGGCACCAGCCCUAACUUCAAUGGACACAUCAUGUGUAUCAAUUGACUUUAAAGGAGAGACGAAAAAUGUUUUAAGUAGUUAAAUCAGUUGAUGGAAAAUUAAUCUUUUUCUUCAUAUUUAAGAGAAUUUUGAGAAAUCUUCAAAGUUUAUAACACCCACUAACUUAAUUUGAAUCCGAACAUUAAAAUUAGUAUAAGGUGGAAGCAACCAUUUAAAUAAAAAACGCAUUUAUUAUUUAAAUAAUUAGAAUAUAUUUAAAACACUAGAAUAAUAAGUGAAAAUAUAUAUAUAUAUUUUUACUUGAUAUAUAUUCCUAUAUGCCAAAAGGUGUUUAAGAAUUAAAAGAGCAGUGUUAAUAAGGUAAGUUAUAAGUACAAAAGGUAUAUCAUUGUCGGUACUCAUAAUGACUACUCUUAUGACUUUAAAAACCUGGUUCAGUUUAAACAUCAACUUAAACAAAAGUAAAAUAUAUAAAGAUAUCUUAAAGAAAGAUCUUAAUGUAUUUUAUCGCCAAAUGAUGUCUCUUCCGAUGCUCACUACUCUCAUUCUUAUCAUUCCUUUCGCUACAACCAAAAUGUUGAGAUGACAUUUAAUUGGACUCGUCCAAAUCUUAUCAUUGCCUUUGGAGAUCUUCCCUGACCUUUAGAAUAAAAAUAAAAAUAAAUUCAGGAUAAAUAAAAAAUUGCAUAUUAUUUAAACAUCAAGAAUGCAAUAUUUAAUCAAGCGUGAUAGAUGGGUAUCGUAUAAAUACUCAUAAAUAUAAAUAUAAAGAAGAGAACAGAUUAUUUAAAGAGCCAAUGAUUUUUUAAAAACCUAAAGAACUGUGGAUUGCGGGAGAAAGAACAUGACUAUCCGUAUUUAAAUUUUUUUAAUUAAAAUUUAAUUAAUUAAUUAAUUGAUAAAAUUUGGGUGGCUGGUCUAAGAACUGUGCAUGGUACGUAACGUGUCGGCCAAGAGGCCCCAUGCAUUAAAUGGCGUAGGGCAUGGUGACGGGGGAGGGGGCGGACGAAGAGGCCAAGAGCGCGAUUUCUCUAAGCCCCGGGAGUCCGGUCUAUGAAUGUGGCUUAUCUUGAUUCUUGCCUGCUGAAAAUUGAAAUACAUCGAGUGUUGCGGCUUUGAAAAAUAUUGUCCACCUAAUCGGAAUAUUUCAUAUGAUUUAAUUUGAAAGCCCCCGUCCAUACCAUAGUCUAUGCCCACGUUACCGCAAUAUAUGGUGGAGCAUCAAAAAGCCCUUGUGGAUUAUUGGGGGAUCAUUCAAAUAUUCAAUUUUCUUGAAGCUUCUUUAGGACAACCCAACUAAAUUCGCUCUCUGCGGUGUUAAAUCUGAGUCGACAUACGGAACAAGCGGGAUUCUCAUGCCACACCCAUAUCCAUGAUUUUCUGGCUCCAUGUUGUUGUCCUUUGAAUAUAGGUCUGGUGUGCCGUCUUGCUCCCAGGACUCACGCAUUUUAUGACUUUCCAUGCCAUUGACUCACGUUAACAAACCAUCAAUUUUCAAUUUAUUUCCAUCAUAAAAACCAUGCUUAAAUUCCUCCUCAAGGAAAGCAACCAAGCAAGACAAAAACUGAGUAUGAUGUUCACCGGCCAAGACCGGAAUGUGACAAGGAUUUGUACCAUAUGUGGCUGCUAUGGCAUGGAAAAUACAUGCACAUCCACACUAUUUUCUUUUUCUUUUUUCUCAUGUUACACAUACCUGCAUAACCAAACAUGGGUGCCAUACGCACCGUCUGUGUCCACCCAUUUAUUGUAGUUCACAGACUGUACUGUUCGAUCACAGAAUGUUAUCGCUGCUCACUCAAUUUAAGGUACAUGAUAUAGGCCAUUGGGAGUCUGACCCACAAUUUAUCGAUCAUGCUCAGUCGACAGUCGACAUCGCCUCGAUCCGACAGGCUAAACAGAAAAUAUUAUAUAUAUAAGAUGGCAACUACGUAAAUGUUGAAUUUGGAUGGUAAUCAAGUGGUAGCAAAUUGUAUUAAGGAUGAGAAUGGCAACAUGCAAGUCAAUAUUCCAAUUGUGCAAAAGUUUCAAAGCUUAUAGUUGGAAAAUGGGCCGGGAGGCGUUGGGUGGGUCCAGUAUUGCCGUACCCCCGUCAGUUCAAGUCAAAUACAAAACGCACCCAAAGAAAAAAAAAAACCUAACCAAUAUUUUUAACUAUUUUAUUUUUUGUUUAAAUAUUUAAGGAAGGAAUAAAAAAUUAAUUAAAGCUUUCAAAUGUUGUAAGGGUUGGUUUGGGUUGGUUUGUCAGAGAGUCCACUGCGGAUCUAUUUUGUUCACAACUGAAAGGUUAAUUUAGUUUUGAUUUUUCAGAAGAAGAAAAAAAUUACAAUAUUGUACGAUUAAAGUCAUCUUUACCCUUCAAUUCUUUAACAUAUUGACAGCAGUACUCUUCAUUUAUGGAAAGAUUCUGAGUGAGGACAUUAGUACAUGAACCCAGAGAUGGAAUCCCACCCUCUAAAUUUUCCCUGGAGUACUCAGCUCUAUGACCAUGGAGACAGCCAAAGUUCUCAUGUUCUCGUCCUCCAGACCAUGCCUGUUUAUUCUUGGAUCAUGCUCAAUUAUGAGCACAUGCAGAGAGGACUGUAAAAUUUGGAGCCGCACCAUGCCCCAUAUCUGUUAUUCCACAACCGUCCAAUGAGAAGUACAAGAAGGAAAAGUGGGUCACUAGACCUCAUCACAUGUCAACAAACCAAAACUCACAUGUGAGGAAAGGUGGAUCAUGCUCAACCCCACCUCUCUUGCCCUUCUCAUCAUUUUCUUUGCUUUUGUAAUUUAGCAAACCAAAACUCACAAGUUUUCUCACAAAAGGGAAGGGAAGGUGAAAAGGGGGAAAUACCACAAGUUGAUGAUUUUAUUCCUCUCCCAUGGUUAUGAUCACCACUUAGCGUUUGCGAAUUGUUUGUUUCCUUGUGUAACUCCCUCAUCAACUUCCCUUGUCGCACUUCAUCAUCGCCUACAUGGUGGGGUACUCCAAUUCCCUUAUUUAUACCAUGGCAUUGCCACACUUCUCUUCCCAUACACACUCCCACCUUCUCCCAACAUCCCUUCCUACCUGCAUUCAAUCAGUCAUUUCUAAGCUUUCUCUUAUUCCUUCUUAAUUUUCAUGGCUCCCCUUCUCUGUCUUCUCAUUCUCAUGAUCACUACUUGCAGCGAUGCUCAGGGUCCACCUUCCCCUGGUUUCUCCCCCAGUUCCAAAUUUAGUCCUAUUAGCUUUAAUCAAGGUUUUAGAAAUCUCUGGGGUUCUCAGCAUCAAACCAUAGACCAGGGUUUAUUAACAAUUUGGCUUGACAGUACCUCUGGUACUACAACCCUUUUUUUUUUCUUUCCUUUGCUUAAUACUGCAGAGUGCAGACCUUAAUUUUAUUUUAUUUUUUCAUUUCUAAGCAAAUACUGCAACGUUCUUUGUUUCUGAAAACAGGAAGUGGGUUUAAGUCGCUUAAGCCCUAUCGUUCAGGUUACUUCAGUGCUGCCAUCAAGCUCCAACCUGGCUAUACUGCAGGAGUGAUCACAUCUUUCUAUGUAAGAAUGAGAAUUCUAUAUUUCUAGGAAUAUCAAUUGUGGGCUGUAUCACUCAAAUUAAGAACUGAUAUUCUAAUAAUUCAUUAUCUGGGCAAUGACAGCUUUCAAACAACGAAGACUACCCUGGGAACCACGAUGAAAUCGAUAUCGAGUUCCUGGGAACAACACUGGAUAAGCCUUAUACCCUGCAGACCAACGUGUAUAUGAAGGGAAGUGGAGAUGGAAGACUAAUAGGGAGGGAAGUGAAGAUUCAUCUCUGGUUCGAUCCAACAGAAGACUUUCAUAAUUAUGCUAUCCUAUGGACCCCAGAUGAGAUCAUGUUAGUAUCAUUUCCUCCAAAUCCCGCCGCUAAUUUUCUUCAAGCAUGCAAAGUCUUUUCAUUCUUUGGCCUAAAGGUGAAAACGACGAUGCUACAUGCCACAUGGCCCAAAGGUUGCUUGAUUUAAUCUCAAUUUCUGCUUACUAUUUAUGUAGUUGUACUAUGAAAUGGUUUGCAGAUUCCUAGUGGACGAUGUCCCCGUAAGAAGGUAUCCAAGAAAGAAUGACGCUACAUUUCCCGCAAGGCCAAUGUGGGUGUAUGGAUCGAUAUGGGAUGCGUCAUCAUGGGCCACAGAGGAUGGAAAAUACAAAGCCGAUUACCGGUACCAACCAUUCAUAGGUAGGUACAAAAAUUUCAAGCUAGGCGGGUGCACCACCGAUGCAGCAGCCUCCUGCCGGCCACCCUCCAUCUCGCCGUCCUCCGCAGGAGGCCUGAGCCAACAGCAGUACUCAGCAAUGGAAUCGGUGCAGAAGAAUUACGUGGUUUACGACUAUUGCCAGGACCCCAAGAGAGACCACUCUCAGAUACCAGAGUGUUAGGUAGAUGUUGAUAAAAAGACUAAAGAGUGGGUUGGUUAUACACAGUUAUAAGUUGUUACUUAAGUUACAAAGACAGUUUGUUUUGGAGUGCAUUGUGAUGGGUCCAGCUUGCCAAGAACAGGUGCAAGAGUCGUUGAGCGCGCGUCCAAGC
rnacentral:lncRNA from 1 species